rnacentral:lncRNA from 1 species
CCUAUAUUCUCUCUCACUCUUCUGUCUCAUUCCUUCUUAUUUUUUUGUUCUUAAGCUUCGACUAAUUUAAGCAUCAGAGGGCCCUCCAUCGGAGCACCUCUGGUGCAUGCAAACUUUUAUUGUAGGUUCAUCUGGAAGAAGGGCACUUUCAACUGAAUCCAAGCUUUAUGUCGGUGAAUGACCAAUAUCAAUAUGAUGACUUAUAGCAAUAAAUCCUUGUAUAGAAUG